GCUGUUGGGAUACCAAAACGCGUAUUCUUCACCACACUGCCACAUCUGCAGCUUGAUCCAUCUGAUGAUUGGAUGAAAAGUCUCCCAGCUGAGAAAAGGAUGGAAAAUUUCAAUGAUAGAUUGAAUUAUGAAAUAUCAAGUUUUGGAAACCUGGAAAUCAGUGAUGCAGACCUUAUAUUUUUCCCAGUGCAUCGCCAUGCACACUACUUUGUUGUGUGCAUAAAUGUCAAGGAAUCCAAGGUUCAGG